rnacentral:rRNA from 1 species
GCGCGAAAACUUUACAAUGCGGGAAACCGUGAUAAGGGGACACCGAGUGCCAGCAUCAUAUGCUGGCUGUCCGGGUGUUUAAACUACACCUGUUAGCAAGGGCCGGGCAAGACCGGUGCCAGCCGCCGCGGUAACACCGGCGGCCCGAGUGGUGAUCGUGAUUAUUGGGUCUAAAGGGUCCGUAGCCGGUUUGGUCAGUCCUCCGGGAAAUCUGAUAGCUUAACUAUUAGGCUUUCGGGGGAUACUGCCAGGCUUGGAACCGGGAGAGGUAAGAGGUACUACAGGGGUAGGAGUGAAAUCUUGUAAUCCCUGUGGGACCACCUGUGGCGAAGGCGUCUUACCAGAACGGGUUCGACGGUGAGGGACGAAAGCUGGGGGCACGAACCGGAUUAGAUACCCGGGUAGUCCCAGCCGUAAACGAUGCUCGCUAGGUGUCAGGCAUGGCGCGACCGUGUCUGGUGCCGCAGGGAAGCCGUGAAGCGAGCCACCUGGGAAGUACGGCCGCAAGGCUGAAACUUAAAGGAAUUGGCGGGGGAGCACAACAACGGGUGG